CAGGCUGUUCCGUCCCGUGCACGCUCGAUCGUUUCCACUUGUUUACCUCCUAUGCUGAGGGACCUAUAAGUUCAAAGAUUGUUAUUUAGGAUAGAAACGAUAAGAAGCUGAUAAGAUUUAAAGUGAACGAUUAAGAACGAUUGCGGUGAAAGUAGGAAAAGGAGUGCGAUGCAGAAAUGGAUGUGAUGGAGAUAUGUCCGAUUGAUAACAAGCAAAGGAAUAUAAAAAAAUUCUUGAUUUCGGAACAUGCGAAUGUGGAGAGUCAUAAUGCAUUACAAAAUAAAAAUGCAAAAUAUUUUUGAUUAAUUUUCAAUAUCGAAAUUCGUUCCUAAUUAAUUCGACAUAUCGAAUUUGAAAUUAAUUCUUAUUGUUAUAUAAUUCAAGUUUUAUGCAUCAAGCAAAAAAUUCCUCGAUUAAAUUGUUUAAUAAUCAUAAUAAUCAUUUCAGAUUUCAUAGAACUAUUUCUUCAAGUUUUAGAUAUACGCGAUGAUGUUAACCUACUUUGCUCGCUGAUGUUUCAGCGGAUAUAUUUCUUUUCUUUUCUUUCAAUUGAAGAAAAAUAAUGAAAAGAAAAGUCAUAUUCUUCUUAAUAAAUAAUUCUUUUAAUAACUGAACAGCAUAAUUUUUCUAUUUUUCACGAAACUUUGUUCUAUGUUUAUCGUUUUCUAAUAUGGACCAAUUUCUCAUAGUUUCUAAAACAAAGUAUUCGUUUAAUAUAUUUAAGCUUAUAUUAUGAUUUGUGUAAUUAGUAAAUUUAGAACAUUAUAGAAUAUAUACUUAGUGUUAAAUAAGAUUCAUCAUUUUUAUAAAUCUCUAAUUUAAAGUAGAAAACUUUAUCAUUCUUGCGCUUACUCUAUCCUUUUCUUAAUAGUUCUUCUUUUCUUUAUAAGAAUAUUGCAUAAGUGACAAUAGUGAAAUAUCUUAUUUAUAGCAUCAUAUAAACAAUAUUAUAUAUUUCUUCCAGGGGAAAAUCGAGUGAUCUUAUACUGUCUUUCAUCUUUCUCCCUUUGGUUAUUAGCACAUCUAUUAGUACCUGAGUUAUCAAGAGUUCCUCUUUCGAACAGAUGAGAUGAUCACACUUGAUAGAUAUAAGAAAAAAAUUUUUAUGCAAACUAGAACUUUACAUGAUCGACUUCCUCUAUCCCUGGACUGAUAAAGUCAAUGAUGAAGCUUAAUAUUGAUUCUCAUUGUGAAUACCUCAUCAUCUACUAGUAUAGUUGAUAUGAUGUGUAAUCCUUAGUAGCAUAUUAUAAUAACUGAAAAAUUUUAUCUUAAAAAAACUAUAGGAAUCAAUGUUGUAAUAUGAAAUUUAUUCGUUUAUGUAUAAUAUCGUAUAAGCAAAAUCAUGAUGACAAAAUGUCUUGUCUAAUAGUAUUGCAUGAACGACGUAUCAUGGUAUCGAGAUAUCUCAUCCAUAGUCAUGAAAAAGAAGGACAGGAAUCGACUUCAAUCGAAUAAAGUGCAGACACACUUUUUGGAGAAAGGAAAGGGGAAUAGAAGAGAGGGGGGGGGAGAGAGAGAGAGAGAAAAAGGAAGAGAAGACGAGUUCAGAAGCGAUGACUUUGAUAGAUCACGCGCAAUCUUGGAAGGAAAUAUAUUUUCGUGUUGGUAGGCGCAAAAUAUCUUGCUUGUGCAUAUGCCUCGAUGUAUCUUUCGAAUACAUCCUAAACAUUUUGAACACAGUUUCAAGAUGAGACUUUAAUUAAUUCGUCGAACUGUUUCGCGGUUAUGAGGUUUAGUUGCGACCUAAAUCGUUGGCAAGCUAUUAUUCAACGAUAUUGGAUCUCGAACAAUUGACUCUGGUUUAUGCUAUUCUAUCAUGCAGUUCCAUUAUCUAUUACUCUAGUUAUUGCAGUUCUACUAAUUACUUCUUAUUGUAGGAAGAAAUUAAAUGAACAUAGUAAUGAUAAUUUUAAUCAUUAUCCUAAUGUUCAAUG